rnacentral:rRNA from 1 species
CAGCAGCCGCGGUAAUACCGGCGGCCCGAGUGGCGGUCACUCUUAUUGGGCUUAAAGCGUCCGUAGCCGGGUUGGGAAGUCCUCCGGGAAAUCUGGCCGCUUAACGGUCAGAAUGCCGGAGGAUACUCCCAGCCUAGGGAGCGGGAGAGGCCGAGGGUAUUCCCGGGGUAGGGGUGAAAUCCUAUAAUCCCGGGAGGACCACCUGUGGCGAAGGCGCUCGGCUGGAACGCGUCCGACGGUGAGGGACGAAGGCCAGGGGAGCAAACCGGAUUAGAUACCCGGGUAGUCCUGGCUGUAAACGAUGCGGACUUUGUGUCGGACAAGCUAUGAGCUUGUCCGGUGCCGGAGGGAAACCGUUAAGUCCGCCGCCUGGGGAGUACGGCCGCAAGGCUGAAACUUAAAGGAAUUGGCGGG